UCCGGCUCCCACCCACAGGCACCAUGACUCCUGUGAGGAUGCAGCACUCCCUGGCAGGUCAGACCUAUGCCGUGCCCCUCAUCCAGCCAGACCUGCGGCGAGAGGAGGCCGUCCAGCAGAUGGCGGAUGCCCUGCAGUACCUGCAGAAGGUCUCUGGAGACAUCUUCAGCAGGAUCUCCCAGCAGGUAGAGCAGAGCCGGAGCCAGGUGCAGGCCAUUGGAGAGAAGGUCUCCUUGGCCCAGGCCAAGAUUGAGAAGAUCAAGGGCAGCAAGAAGGCCAUCAAGGUGUUCUCCAGUGCCAAGUACCCUGCUCCAGAGCGCCUGCAGGAAUAUGGCUCCAUCUUCACGGGCGCCCAGGACCCUGGCCUGCAGAGACGCCCCCGCCACAGGAUCCAGAGCAAGCACCGCCCCCUGGACGAGCGGGCCCUGCAGGAGAAGCUGACUUUCCUGUGUGCGUGAGCACCAAGCCGGAGCCCGAGGACGAUGCAGAAGAGGGACUUGGGGGUCUUCCCAGCAACAUCAGCUCUGUCAGCUCCUUGCUGCUCUUCAACACCACCGAGAACCUGUAGAAGAAGUAUGUCUUCCUGGACCCCCUGGCUGGUGCUGUAACAAAGACCCAUGUGAUGCUGGGGGCAGAGACAGAGGAGAAGCUGUUUGAUGCCCCCUUGUCCAUCAGCAAGAGAGAGCAGCUGGAACAGCAGGUCCCAGAGAACUACUUCUAUGUGCCAGACCUGGGCCAGGUGCCUGAGAUUGAUGUUCCAUCCUACCUGCCUGACCUGCCCGGCAUUACCAACGACCUCAUGUACAUUGCUGACCUGGGCCCCGGCAUUGCCCCCUCUGCCCCUGGCACCAUUCCAGAACUGCCCACCUUCCACACUGAGGUAGCCGAGCCUCUCAAGGUAGACCUACAAGAUGGGGUACUAACACCACCCCCACCGCCCCCACCACCACCCCCAGCUCCUGAGGUGCUGGCCAGUGCACCCCCACUCCCACCCUCAACCGCGGCCCCUGUAGGCCAAGGCGCCAGGCAGGACGACAGCAGCAGCAGCGCGUCUCCUUCAGUCCAGGGAGCUCCCAGGGAAGUGGUUGACCCCUCCGGUGGCCGGGCCACUCUGCUAGAGUCCAUCCGCCAAGCUGGGGGCAUCGGCAAGGCCAAGCUGCGCAGCAUGAAGGAGCGAAAGCUGGAGAAGAAGCAGCAGAAGGAGCAGGAGCAAGUGAGAGCCACGAGCCAAGGUGGGCACUUGAUGUCGGAUCUCUUCAACAAGCUGGUCAUGAGGCGCAAGGGCAUCUCUGGGAAAGGACCUGGGGCUGGUGAGGGGCCCGGAGGAGCCUUUGCCCGCGUGUCAGACUCCAUCCCUCCUCUGCCGCCACCGCAGCAGCCACAGGCAGAGGAGGACGAGGACGACUGGGAAUCCUAGGGGGCUCCAUGACACCUUCCCCCCCAGACCCAGACUUGGGCCGUUGCUCUGACAUGGACACAGCCAGGACAAGCUGCUCAGACCUACUUCCUUGGGAGGGGGUGACGGAACCAGCACUGUGUGGAGACCAGCUUCAAGGAGCGGAAGGCUGGCUUGAGGCCACACAGCUGGGGCGGGGACUUCUGUCUGCCUGUGCUCCAUGGGGGGACGGCUCCACCCAGCCUGCGCCACUGUGUUCUUCUCUUAAGAGGCUUCCAGAGAA
ensembl:lncRNA novel transcript